UUUAGAGUAGUUCUUGGCAUAUAGUGAGCCAUUGAUGUGUGUUGUUAAUGAUUGUUAUCAUUGCUGUUACUGUUACAGAGGGCAAGCACUGAGGAUCUGGAUAAGAGAAGAAUUGGUAGGAAAACUCUUCGGUGUGCCCAAGCAUCUCCAAAAUGUUUUUUCAAAAGACAGGUGGACUUUAGCCCCUAAGAAGAAUCUGAUGCAGUCAAUCUGGUAACAACCCUACAGUGUCAGCU
rnacentral:lncRNA from 1 species